UGAAGAAGGUUUUGGGUUCAUUGGAGGGAGGGGGCAGACCAGGCACAGGAGGUGGAGGGGGCACAGUUCUCACCAGAUCGGGGAGAACAGAAAGCUACAACUUGUAUGAGAAUAAGGAGGACCUGGUACAUUCAUCUCUUUGUUUGUACAACUACUUCAAUAAAGAACCAAUUAAACUGGAAA